UACGGAGGGUGCAAACGUUGCUCGGAAUUAUUGGGCGUAAAGCGCACGUAGGCGGACCAUCAAGUCGGAUGUGAAAUCCCUCGGCUUAACCGAGGACGUGCAUUCGAUACUGAUGGCCUUGAGUACGAAAGAGGAUCGCGGAAUUCCCGGUGUAGAGGUGAAAUUCGUAGAUAUCGGGAGGAACACCAGUGGCGAAGGCGGCGAUCUGGGUCGAUACUGACGCUGAGGUGCGAAAGCGUGGGGAGCAAACAGG
rnacentral:rRNA from 1 species